CAGCGAGCCUGCUUCUGGGUCAGCCUCUGAGCCAGUGUGCUUUACUGUAAGCGUUAGAAACAUGACUUCUAACAUUACAGUUAAAGGAGGAAUGAUAUAUUUCAGUGAAGAAUCCCAGCUCAACGGGGCUCUUCUGAGAACUGCAGAAAACAGCUCUGGACUCCUCCCUCGGAGCACCCGCCCAGCUUCCCUCUCCUGGCGCAAAACCUUGAUGCAAGCGGCGUGUGCCACAGUCCCAGGGUCCUCUGGCUCGUUUGUAAAUCUGUCAGCUGAGGUAGUUUUUUGUUAGUUUGUUUGUAAAUAUGUUAAAAAUAGAUCCUACAAACAGAAAAACAGGACUUCAACUGACUUCUACGUUACCGUUAAAUUUCUUUUCCAAAUGCCUUUAUCUCCUUUUCAUUCUUUUUUAUGCUAUGAGUUAUUUGUUCUCUGAAACAAGGCACAUUGCUGUUUACCUUCGUAUUCGAGUCUUGAUAUAUUUUUCUAAAUAAUCUAACCUUAUGCUUUUCUCCUAUGAUAGUUCAAGUUCUAUUGCCCAAACUAUUUUUCUUUUCAUAGCUAAAUCAUUUGUUGUGAAAUUUCUCACUCUUGGACUCAGGCCUUCCUCAUCUUGCUUAACAUUUUUUGUCUACUGUCAUGAGUAAACAUGAAAUGUGAAAAAGGUUUUAAUAUUUUUAUUCAGAGAUCGCUUCCUCAGACAAAACCGUCUGCGUGCUAGUCAUUUUGAUAAGCGAGUGUCAUCGGCUUUUUCUUCUUUAAAUUUACAUUGAAUAAAAUCUCCAGGCUACCAACAAGUUCAGAACAAGUGCUGAACGUGGGGGACAGCGCGGCCACAGACACCCAGUGAGGGUGAGUCUUGUCUGGCAGAGAAGGGCGAGGCUGGGACGUGGCAGCCGGACUCAGCUUGACCACAAAUCUCUGCCCAGUGAAGGCCGCCAUGCCACUGAAUCCUGGGAAGAAAGCAACACAAACGCCUAAACUGGAAGGAGUAAAGGUGCCCUGCAAGGUAGGUCAAGGCUUCAACGGGUAAAUCUAGGUGGAAAUGGAUCCCAACCAUAGCACGGACCUCACAGGGCAGCAUGUGGGGUUCAGCCCAGCCUCCACCGAUGGGCAGGGACAUGGGGCUCCGGCAGCCCCGGGGCAGAGGAGAAAUGCAGCCAGCCCAGGGCCACGUGCUGGCUGAGCCUGAGAGCACCACGGGGACAGCCUCAGCCAGGCACUGCAGCUUCCGGCAGAGAAGCCCACCGGCACAGGUGGUAAAAAUAAAGACUGAAGAACCAGAAAGAGAAAGUAUUAACAAAAAUGCCAGUGAUCAACAAAGUGGAAAAAUUGAAUUUGUGUUCAAAGUAAUGAUAUUAAAAGGCAUUUGAAAAAUGCAACUGUCAAAAAUAAGUUUAUAAAAUAAAGGACAUAAUAGAAAA
rnacentral:lncRNA from 1 species